CUUUCUUUAGACUUGAACUGCAAAAUUGGCUCUGCCUGCUGCUCCAGCCUGGUAACCUUUGGACUGGAACUGCAGCUUCAGCUCCCCAUGAGGCUCCAGUUUGACAGCCUUUGGACUGAAAGAGCAGCAUUGGCUCUUCCUGGGUUUCCAGCCUGUUGGCCCAUCCUGCAGACUUUGGACUUGCCAACCUUCAUAAUUGAAUCAGCUAAUUUCUUAUGUUUCAAGAAUACAACUUUGGGGCUGGGCGCGGUGGCUCAUGCCUGUAAUCCCAGCACUUUGGGAGGCCCAGGCGGGAGGAUCACGAGGUCAGGAGAUCGAGACCAUCCUGGCUAAUACAGUGAAACCCUGUCUCUACUAAAAAUACAAAAAAAUUAGCCGGGGGUGUUGGAGGGCGCCUGUAGUCCCAGCUACCCCGGAGGCUGAGGCAGGAGAGUGGCGUGAACCCGGGAGGCGGAGCUUGCAGUGAGCUGAGAUCCCGCCACUGCACUGCACUCCAGCCUGGGCGACAGAGCGAGACUCCCUUCGUCUCAAAAAAAACAAAAAAAAAAACAAAAAAAAAAACUUUGUUCAAUAAAGCUAUGCACUGGGAAAAUAUUUAUGUCAUUAAUGUUAAUGAUUCAAGUUGAAAUAUUGUCUUUGAUGAAGUUGAUAUUGCUAGUAUUAAAUCUUAUUUACUUAAACUGGACACAAACAAAGCAUCUCCUUUAAUGCAUGCUUGCUUCGGUUGUUUGACUUGGGCAAAAGAUAGUUCCUGAAUUCUGGAGAUAUUUCUGGGAAAGUGAUGCCUGUGGCACUCAGUCUAAUAAAAGAGUAGGCUCGAGUCUUUUGAUUUUAUCUAUUAAUAUCAGCUCUUUAUUCCCCCAUUUAUUAAUAUUCAUGAAACUGUGAUAUUUUUCUUUAUGUUUUCUAGUAAGUGAUGAGUGUCACUUUUUUAAAGCUUAUAUUUCAACUUGUCCUUGUGUACUUGCAAAUUAUUUUUCUGUGAAAAAAAAUCAUGCAUGCAGUUGAAAAAUGUAUGUAAGUUGCCCUUCCAUGGUAAAUAAUUUCCAAAAGUUUUUUGACUUAUGUACAUCAUUCAGUGAAAAGAGCAUGAGGUUUCCAGUGAGGCAGAAACAGAUUUCAAAUCUGACAUGGUCACUUUCUAAAAUAUAAGAGAGAAAUUUCUGUUUUCUUUUUGUCUCAAUCAUUUUAAAUUUCUCUAUUUAAAGGAACCAUUAUUAGCAAAUAACUUUUGAGUAAUUAUUAUGUGUCAGACAUUAUGCUAAUUACUUUAGUGGAUUUUCUCAUAUAAUACCUAUAUCAUUAAAUCUGGUAUGUAUUACUAUUUCCAUAUUACUAACGGAGAAACUAAGUCUUCAGUGAACUCAACUAGCAGCUAAGCUGGCUAACUAUCAAACUCUUACCAGAGUUAAAAUUCUCAAGCACUGGUUUCAAUGCUCUAAGUCUCCAUUUUUUCAUUUUCAAAAUCCAAAUAAACUAUCUAGAUUUUUUUUUCAAAUUUAGGAAAGCAGCAUACGUAAAAUAUUUCACAUAACAUCUGAUACACUGUAGUCCUAUAAUAAAUAUUAGUUUCCUUCUCCUAUUUUAUUGACAUAAGAUAAUCAAUGCUCCAUUUGUUUCUGGUAUUAUUAUCUCUAUGUGAGAAAGAUACUAUGUAGUUUAAAAUCUGCUUUCUUAUACAACAUCUUAAUAUAUUUCUUACUAAAGUACUUAAUUCAUGCCACUUAAUUGAUGAGGAAAUAAAGGCCUAGAAAAUUCAGGCCGGGCGGGUGGCUCACACCUGUAAUCCCAGAACUUUGGGAGGCCGAGGCAGGAGGAUCACGAGAUCAGGAGAUUGAGACCAUCCAGGCUAACAGGGAGAAACCCUGUCUCUACCAAAAAUACAAAAAAUUAGCCAGGCGUGCUGGCACAUGGCUGCAAUCCCGGCUACUCGGGAGGCUGAGGCAGGAGAAUUCCUUGAACGCGGGAGGCAGAGGUAGCAGUGAGCCAAGCUCGCGCCACUGCACUCCAGCCUGGGUGACAGAGUGAGACUCCAUCUCAAAAAAGAAAAAGAAAAAAGAAAAUUCAGUAAUGGUUCUCAGACUAAGACCAAACUCAUUAAAUUAUAUAGUCUGUACCUCUUCCAUUCUUCAUGACUUUAGUAAAUAUGGUUUCAGAAAAACUUAAGUCACUUUUAUAGAUUGUUUUGUUAUCUAGUUUGUUAUCAAUAUUUACUGAUAUAGUAAACAUUGUGCAGUUUGAAGUAGGUAGCACAAGUAUUCUUAGAACCUCAUAAAUCAAAUCUGAUUAAAUGGAUCCUUAAAGUAUUUCAAGUUCUUAGCAGAGAUAAUACAUUUACAAGCUUUUUUGUAUUACAUGUGGAAAUGAGGAAAUGACAGUGGGGCCAAGACUCUAUUUUAUAUCACGAGGUUUCAUGUAAGUGACAUGGAGGAACAUAGGAAGAGUGGCAGAGAAUCAAACAGAAGUAUGAGAAUGUAUAUGUCUUUGCCUUUUUCACAAUAUUAUAGGAAAAGUGUUAAAUACUUCAUUGUUGUGUGAUGUGAGCUAUAGAGUUGUCAGAUGCUUUUAGCAGAUUGACAGAAAGUACCCUUGUAGACCUAAUUUGGUGAGGUUUUGCUGCUUUUUUAUAUGUGGAUGUUGAAUUUUUUGAAUGCAUUUUUCUGCAUCUAUUGAUAUUAUAUGAUUUAUUUUUCUUUAAUCUGCUAACAUGGUGAAUUACAAUGCUUGAUUUUUAAGUAGUAAAAUAACUUUGCACUCCUGGAAUAAAACCUACAUGAGCAUGAUUUAUUUUCCUUUUUAUAUGUUACUACAAUUCAUUUGUUCGUAUUUUGCUAGAGGUUUUUACGUCCAUUGGUCAUUGGCCUGUGAGUUUCUCUACUUAUCAUGUAUUUGUGUGAUUUUAUUAAUAGAAUAAUGCUGGUUUCACCAAACAUGUUGGAGAAUAUUCCUAUUCCUGAAAAAGUUUGUGUAACAUUAGUGAAUUCUAUCAAAUGUGAUAAAAUUUACCAGUGAGAAUUUACCAGUGAUGACAUCUAAGUUUGAAUUUUCCUUUACAGAAAGGUUUUAUUAUCAUAAUUCCUAUUUGUGUAAUAG
rnacentral:lncRNA from 10 species